rnacentral:tRNA from 1 species
CCACCUGUAGCUCAAUUGGUAGAGCACUCGUCUUAUACACGGGCGGUUCCUGGUUCGAGUCCAGGCGGGUGGA